rnacentral:lncRNA from 1 species
CUGUAAUCCCAGCUACUUGGGAGGCUGAGGCAGGAGAAUCACUUGAACCUGGCAGGCAGAGGUUGCAGUGAGCCGAUAUCGUGCCACUGCACUCCAUUCUGGGUGACAGAGUGAGACCCUGUCCAAAAGAUAUAUAUAAAGAAAAAAAAAUUACCAAAUUGUUUUUCAAGUGGUUGUCAACCAGGAAUACAGAGAGCCUCAUUCUGAGAAGGAAAACUAGAGGUUUGUUUUUUAAGUAAAAUUAUGUUUUUUUUUAUUAUUUUAAAAAAUGGAUCUAAAUAAUAGAUGAGUACAGUCUUACUUUAAGACAUUCAAUCAUUCAAAUAAGAGGGAAAGAAGUGUCCGUCCUCACUUCCAACACCCUGCCUCCUGGGUAACUUACAGCUUCCUUGGAAGGAGCUUGCCUAGAGCACCUGGGGAGAAGCCGUUGCUGGCUGUAGUGCCUGGGUCAACAGAAUAGAAGGGAGGCAGGAGGGGACUGCACAGGAGCCAGCUGGGCUUGUCACAGUUCCUGCUGGUGUGCUUGCUAUGAAAGGAUUUAUUUUUAGUAUUUGGGAAUAAUUAUGUUUAAAGAAGGUUAUUUAAAAACAGAUAUUCUUUCCCCUAGAGUGUACAGUGUUUGAUAUACACAGGUGGAUUCUUGCUUCUUGUGUGCAUUUUUCUAGACUCCAUUAAGACCAUAGCCCUUUGAGUACAACUCAUAAGAGGUUUAUGCUUUACAUCUCUACAUUCCAGUUACAUCUUCCUGGGGAUACAGCCUACAUGGAAGUUCAGCAAAUAUCUGGUCUAUUCCACACCUGUAAGAUGUAGCACUUGGAAAGGAAACACAUGACAAGACAAAAGAAAACCAAAAAAACCUCAUAAACACAUUACUCUUAAAAGUAAUCAAAGAAAUGGUUCUGUUAUCACCAGCUAAGAAAAAAAAAGUAAUUGAAGAAAAGCAAAACAACAACUACAGUACUACCAGAAAAACCUGAUUGUUAA